CAGAGAAUUUAGCAAAGAUCAUACAGCCAGCCAGUGGCAGAACUUGAAUUCACACCUUCUUCCUUGUGUUUCAACUACCUUAAACACUUGCUGCUCAGAAUACAAGCUUCUUAUCCAAGACAGUAUUUCCAGAAAUACAACUUGAGCAAAGCCAAAACAGAAUGAAAACAAAAGAAGGAGAUACCUUACUAGACUUCUUAUCAUUCAUCUGUCAAUAUAAAAGAUACAAGAACUGG